GCCAGGUGGUAUGGUGGCUCACACCUGUAGUCCUAGCUACUGGGGAAGCUGAGGAUCCCUUGAGUCCAGGAGCUCUGGGCUGUAGUGUGCUAUGUCCAUCAGGUGUCUGUACUAAGUUCAGCAUGAAUAUUCCAGGACCAGAGGACCACUAGGUUGCCUACGGAGGGGUGAACCAGCCCAGGUCAGAAACAGGUCGAAACUCAUGUGCUGAUCAGUAGUGGGAUCACACUUGACAGCAGCCACUGCACUCCAGCCUGGGCAACACAGUGAGACCCCAUCUCU
rnacentral:SRP_RNA from 1 species